rnacentral:rRNA from 1 species
UUCCGGUUGAUCCUGCCGGACCCGACUGCUAUCAGAGUGGGACUAAGCCAUGCGAGUCAACGUAGAAAUACGUGGCAAACGGCUCAGUAACACGUAGUCAACAUGCCCAGGGGACGUGGAUAACCUCGGGAAACUGAGGAUAAACCGCGAUAGGCCAUGAUUUCUGGAAUGGUUCAUGGCCGAAAUCUAUAUGGCCCCUGGAUUGGACUGCGGCCGAUCAGGCUGUUGGUGAGGUAAUGGCCCACCAAACCUGUAACCGGUACGGGCUCUGAGAGGAGGAGCCCGGAGAUGGGCACUGAGACAAGGGCCCAGGCCCUAUGGGGCGCAGCAGGCGCGAAAUCUCUGCAAUAGGCGAAAGCUUGACAGGGUUACUCUGAGUGAUUCCCGCUAAGGGGAUCUUUUGGCACCUUUAAAAAUGGUGCAGAAUAAGGGGUGGGCAAGUCUGGUGUCAGCCGCCGCGGUAAUACCAGCACCCCGAGUGGUCGGGACGAUUAUUGGGCCUAAAGCAUCCGUAGCCGGUACUGCAAGUCUUCCGUUAAAUCCACCUGCUUAACAGUUGGGCUGCGGGGGAUACUACAGCGCUAGGAGGCGGGAGAGGCAAGCGGUACUCAAUGGGUAGGGGUAAAAUCCGCUGAUCCAUUGAAGACCACCAGUGGCGAAGGCGGCUUGCCAGAGCGCGCUCGACGGUGAGGGAUGAAAGCUGGGGGAGCAAACCGGAUUAGAUACCCGGGUAGUCCCAGCUGUAAACGAUGCAGACUCGGUGAUGGGCUGGCCUUGUGCCAACCCAGUGCCGCAGGGAAGCCGUUAAGUCUGCCGCCUGGGGAGUACGGUCGCAAGACUGAAACUUAAAGGAAUUGGCGGGGGAGCACCACAAGGGGUGAAGCCUGCGGUUCAAUUGGAUUCAACGCCGGA